GGAAGGUGUUGAUGUGAGAGGAUACUAUAUUUGGUCAUUUCUUGAUGACUUCGAAUGGGAUUUGGGUUAUACUAUUCGGUUUGGAAUCACUUAUGUAGAUUACAGAAAUGAAUUAAAAAGAUAUCUCAAACAAUCUGCUUUGUGGUUCAAGAAAUUCCUCCAAAAGAAGAAUAGAAUCACUGCAUCUUCAUUGUUGUACUCAGAAUGAUUAAAUUUUUUUUAAAAAAAUGUCAAUUACCUCUCAAUUCUUAAUCAUUACUUAUGCUAAUUUUCAGUGAAAAUACAUAAGUGUGUUGAGCUCAUUUGGGAAAGGAAAUGUCGAGUUCUUCUCCUUCUUCUCUAUCUUCACAGCAAUUUCAUACUCUGCGAUUGCUGAAGCAUACCUGAAAAGAAAAUGAACCAUAUGUUGAUCAGUAGUAUGCUAUUAAUGAAUUCUUUGAUCUCUUGUCC
rnacentral:misc_RNA from 1 species